CAGCUUGUAUGGGAGGGUGGCUUCUUGCAUGCCGCAGCAUACAAGAAGCCCUUGUGACAGUCCUACAGCUCUUCUGGAGCUGCCUGCUGUAGGGACGCUGCUUUUGUAAUGUCUGCCUUUUGGGUACGGGAGAGCUUAUUUCUGUGAGAAGCAGAGCCCUUUUCUUGCCCACUGAGUCUUUAAACCAAGCAGCAUGAACCCUAAGCGAUGCAGCAUGACUUCCAGGUUCCGUGAUACGCAUGGGUGAUUUUGCCAGCAUUGUUCAUAUGCAGUGGGCAGAGAAGCAGGGGAACUUCACAUGCAGCAGUUCCCCUCUGAAUUGUCCCACGAAUGCCGUCCCACCGGACCACCCCGAUGCAGAAUACAGCAGCCGUUCAUUCACGCAGAACAGAGAUCCGGGGCUGGCCAUAGGAAGCAAAAGCCCUAAAGCACACUGCAGUAUCCUUGUUCUCCCUUCACAAAGCUGCUCUGUGUUAAACUAUGGUAUCGACCCACACUGGCGCAAAAAUGCCUUUCGUCAGGGGUUUGCAUGCUGUGUUAUAUGAGGCUUCAGUUAAAAACAAACUGGCAGAACCUGAUGUGGUGAUUUACUGUUUAAUGGUAUCGGAAGUGAGUUUUGAUCGGGGAAGAAAUGGGAGGACCGUGCCCCGCUGCAGUGUCAGAGGGAGCAGGAUGCUUGGGUGCCAUGGUUGUCUCAUGGUGGCUGCAGAGGGGAUGGGGUAUUCCAAAAUCUUGGUCUGAUAUGUGGCUCUCCCAGAAUGCAGCCCACAGAUGCUUAUACGUUUAAUAAGGUGCUAAAGCAGAACUUGAAAUGUUCAUUCACAGUCUCCUGUUCUGGAUCAUUUCUUUGACCAUCUGGUGUUGAUUUUUUUUUUUUUUUUCUUAAAGAUGCUUUGCAUCCUGUGCAUUACUUUCUGUUUACCCUUUGGGCCCCAGCCUGGCAGAGUGCCUGGGAAUGUGCCUGAUGUUCUGUCCCUUCCCAGCUCAACAAAACACUGAAGAUGGUGUGUAACGAUAAGCUGACUUCUUCCCGCUCCCACCUCAUCCUACCACCUGCUAGGGGAGCCUUUGGGUGGAGGCUGGGAGAAGGCUGGGAGAGUUUGUACAAACAGCAUUUUUCUUCCCAAGGAGGUUUUUAGCACUUGUUUUUGUGGCUCGCUCAGAUUUGCAUGCUUGAAUACUGAUAGCAGCUGGGCAUCGAAGUGGUAGAAGAGAGAAUUGUUCAAUGGGAAAAAAAAGUCCAUUCAUGGGUUCAAGCAGAGUUACACUGACACUGAAAGCUGAAAGACUUUCCAUCUGAACCUCCUUUUCCCCCACAUGUUAGUGCUACCACUAAAAUGCAGUAAUGUUUUGCACUAUGAUGAUUCAGUUUGUUUGCUUAGCUGGAGGAAAAGGGAAAACUCUCCCAUAACUCUCCCCUUUUUGCAGUGACCGGAGUGAAAGGGCACAUUUAAACGUGAGGAAGAGCUGGCAGCUGCUGAGGAAAUCUGCUGGAAGGCAAGACCCAGGGAACUGCAGUGAGGGGACACUGGAGGUUUUUAGUAUGACUGUGUAUGCAGGCAUGGGAAAAAGAGAGUGGUGUCGGAGGAAAUCACCUCAGUGUCAUUCCCCAGGCAGUCGGGGUGGCGAAAGGAGGCUGUGACCAGGCCUGAAUGGACCCAUUCUUCUUGGCCAAGUACUACUACUUAAGGUUUCAAUCUCUUCCGAUGCACCAAGGGUCUGAACCUAUCUCUCACAUCAGGAGCACACGCAGAUGUGAGAAAAGGCAUGUAACAAGGAGCCACUAAUGGAGAAGAUUCUGUGAAAUUGAUUUCUUCAGUACAACUGGGCUGCUUUCUGACCAUUCCAGCGGUGCAAUCAGACAAGCAACAGCACUGAUAGUGGGGAAGAGAAAAGUGUACGAGCCCAUCUAACUCCAGGCUGAAGCUGCUGUGUGAGAAGGAAUCCAGUUACAAAGACCUCAACAGCAGCCAUGCCUGGAUGCUGUGGGAGAAUGCUCUUGGUCAUUUCUCAUCCCUUCUUCCUAUGGGAUACUUGAAAACACGAGAGAAGCUGGCCUGAAAGACGAGCGUGGAGGAGGCGAAGGACCUCUGCAUCCAGGAUGUGCUGCUGCAGUGUGCAAUUGCACAAACCAAGCUGUUGUGUAUUCAGAGUUGCAUCUGCCUGCCCAAAUGACAAAAAUGAAGUAUUUGCUGCUUUCCACUUUAAACCUUUUGGAGCCAGUAAUACUCAUCCUCCUCAUGCACCAAGGUAUCCACAUGUGCCACUCACCAGCCUGGGACUUCUUCACCAAGCAAUGUCUGAGCAAAUCUCCUAACAACAGAGCAACUGCUCGCAGAUUAUUGUGAUCAUAAUUUGGCUGACAUAGCCUUUAUUACUAAUGGUGAUGCUGGAGAUGGAAAACCCAGCUUGAUUCUCAGAUCCCUGCUGGAAAGUAAUAAAAUAAAGAGGAACAAAAUCCAUGAGUGUAUUUGCUACCAAACCUUUGAAAAACACAAAAAUGGAACCCUGCCAAUACUGUUGCUGGCAAUUUUUCAGAUCAGAGCCUCUCUCCGAGAUAGCAUUAGAAUUGGAAGUGCAUUUUGUAUCUAUGGCAUUAGUAUCACAUUGUGUACAAACGGAGAGUUUACAAUUAUUUUACAUUUAUUGGUUUGCAUUGUAAUUACUGUGUGCUGCUCUUAUAUCUUCAGUGUAUUUUUAAGCAUCUUCCAGUAAUGUAAUAAUUAGAAAAUAACUUCAGUUAUUGUGAAAAAUGUGUUUAUUUUGCUAACUGAAAGAAUGGACAAAAGAAGUGCUUCAGUGGAAGUGCUCUUAUAAAAAUGGAAGGUAUUGCAGUUUUUCAGUGAGGUCUUUGUUGAGAACAUUGGGUAAGGGAGGUUGGCUUUUACAGUCUCUUUUGUCCAUCUUUGUGCAAUGUUAGAAUUUGCAGCUAAUUCUGAUGGCAGAAGAUUCUCCUGUGCUGGUGGCUGAGGAUGAUUUAGUAUCAUGUACAACCACAGGAAACUUCCCCAAGCCAUAGCUAGGAUUUUGAAUAACAGAAUGAGCCUUUGGUACUAAAAAACAAGUCCGCAGUACUAAGAAUACAGGAAAAGCUAUUAAAAUUUUGAACGUAAAAAGGGCCACUUGAUAAAAUCAGUAGCAAAUAAAAGAGGAAUGUAAAUGUAAUUUCAUCGAUUGAUUUCACUCCGUCUCUUUUUUCACGUUAAUAUAUUUUUGUCUCUUAACUCAUAACCACACAGUAAUUAAAAAAUGUAAGAAAAACUAACUUUUUACCACGCUAAUUAAACUGUAUGUCACAUAGGCAUUUGGGGAGAAUUUCCCAUGCUUUCCAGUGUGAAUGGAAGGAAAGAGCAGUGGUGCUCACUUUAAACUCGAUUUUUCUCUAGUACCUUGCAAAAAGGCUUCAUUGUAUUUUGAUUAAUCCAUGCUUGGUCCACCUCGAAUGUUUCCAUGGAAACAGUUUUUUUUUUUUUUUUUUUUUUUUUCCCCCUUGAUGGCAACUGUUAGGCUCGGGAAGGUUCCUCUCUGCACAAAACCAUUCCAGCUCCUAAAGAACUACAUGUUGGAAAUUUAAUAUACAUAAACAAAACUCCCAAAUUCCUCCUCAGUAUCAUUGUUGUCAGUGCUAAUAGAGAACUGUUUUCUUAAUGAUACACAAUGGUGCUCUUUCACUCCAGAAGAAAAUAGAAUAACCUUAUUAUUCUUCCUACUGCAAGAGAGCACUUUUCUUGGUCCAGAAAAAAAUUAGCCUGCAAACCUUUCAAAAUGAAAUUUUAAGAGUUCUGAUGUGUGAAUAUUAUCUAGUUCUGGGCAUAAAUCAUUCGGCUUAAUGGCUGUUAAAAUUGAAUUAAACUUGUCUUGUAGAUUGGUAGUAAUUUGAACAAAUUA